UGUUAUGAGCUGAUAGUCUCAGUUUGUCGGUCUUUCUUAUUCACCAUACAGGAAAUAACUGAUUUCGGAGUUGACUUGUGGGGGGUCAGAGUCUCCAUCACUGAGGAAAAACACCUGAAUAACAACAACUUCACUAUCUAUCAGAACUCUCAGCUCACAGAUAUUAUCCCAUUGAUUUACAAUAUGUGACCAGAAAAGACCAGAUGCUGUCUCCAACCACUACUGUGAAGGUUGCCUGGAGCCUGGUUUCCUCACCACAUCGGCUUGAUGCAGUUGCCUGCCCCCAUUAGGCUCAGUUGUGUACUGCAAAUGAAUCAUCCUACACUGAAUCAAGCUCUGAGUAGUCAUUGAAUAUGACUCCAGACUACAGUAGCACAUACAGAAGCACACAGAGGGAGGAGGA